rnacentral:rRNA from 1 species
AGUCGAACGGCAGCACGGGUGCUUGCACCUGGUGGCGAGUGGCGAACGGGUGAGUAGUAUCGGAACAUGUCCUGUAGUGGGGGAUAGCCCGGCGAAAGCCGGAUUAAUACCGCAUACGAUCUACGGAUGAAAGCGGGGGACCUUCGGGCCUCCGCUAUAGGGUUGGCCGAUGGCUGAUUAGCUAGUUGGUGGGGUAAAGGCCUACCAAGGCGACGAUCAGUAGCUGGUCUGAGAGGACGACCAGCCACACUGGGACUGAGACACGGCCCAGACUCCUACGGGAGGCAGCAGUGGGGAAUUUUGGACAAUGGGCGAAAGCCUGAUCCAGCAAUGCCGCGUGUGUGAAGAAGGCCUUCGGGUUGUAAAGCACUUUUGUCCGGAAAGAAAUCCUUGGCUCUAAUACAGUCGGGGGAUGACGGUACCGGAAGAAUAAGCACCGGCUAACUACGUGCCAGCAGCCGCGGUAAUACGUAGGGUGCGAGCGUUAAUCGGAAUUACUGGGCGUAAAGCGUGCGCAGGCGGUUUGCUAAGACCGAUGUGAAAUCCCCGGGCUCAACCUGGGAACUGCAUUGGUGACUGGCAGGCUAGAGUAUGGCAGAGGGGGGUAGAAUUCCACGUGUAGCAGUGAAAUGCGUAGAGAUGUGGAGGAAUACCGAUGGCGAAGGCAGCCCCCUGGGCCAAUACUGACGCUCAUGCACGAAAGCGUGGGGAGCAAACAGGAUUAGAUACCCUGGUAGUCCACGCCCUAAACGAUGUCAACUAGUUGUUGGGGAUUCAUUUCCUUAGUAACGUAGCUAACGCGUGAAGUUGACCGCCUGGGGAGUACGGUCGCAAGAUUAAAACUCAAAGGAAUUGACGGGGACCCGCACAAGCGGUGGAUGAUGUGGAUUAAUUCGAUGCAACGCGAAAAACCUUACCUACCCUUGACAUGGUCGGAAUCCCGCUGAGAGGUGGGAGUGCUCGAAARARAACMGGCGCACAGGUGCUGCAUGGCUGUCGUCAGCUCGUGUCGUGAGAUGUUGGGUUAAGUCCCGCAACGAGCGCAACCCUUGUCCUUAGUUGCUACGCAAGAGCACUCUAAGGAGACUGCCGGUGACAAACCGGAGGAAGGUGGGGAUGACGUCAAGUCCUCAUGGCCCUUAUGGGUAGGGCUUCACACGUCAUACAAUGGUCGGAACAGAGGGUUGCCAACCCGCGAGGGGGAGCUAAUCCCAGAAAACCGAUCGUAGUCCGGAUUGCACUCUGCAACUCGAGUGCAUGAAGCUGGAAUCGCUAGUAAUCGCAGAAGAGCAGCCGCGGGAAUACGUUCCCGGGUCUUGUACCCACCCCCCAACACACCAUGGGAGUGGGUUUUACCAGAAGUGGCUA